rnacentral:tRNA from 1 species
GCCCGGGUGGCUCAGUCAGUUAAGCGUCUGACUUUGGCUCAGGUCAUAAUCUCACAAUUUGUGGGUUCGAGCCCCGCAUCGGGCU